GACGAACGCUGGCGGCGUGCUUAACACAUGCCAGUCGAACGGAAAGGCCCUGCUUUUGUGGGGUGCUCGAGUGGCGAACGGGUGAGUAACACGUGAGUAACCUGCCCUUGACUUUGGGAUAACUUCAGGAAACUGGGGCUAAUACCGGAUAGGAGCUCCUGCUGCAUGGUGGGGGUUGGAAAGUUUCGGCGGUUGGGGAUGGACUCGCGGCUUAUCAGCUUGUUGGUGGGGUAGUGGCUUACCAAGGCUUUGACGGGUAGCCGGCCUGAGAGGGUGACCGGCCAAAUUGGGAAUGAGAUCCGGCAAAGACUCCUACGGGAGGCAGCAGUGGGGAAUAUUGCAAAAUGGGCGGAAGCCUGAUGCAGCAACGCCGCAUGCGGGAUGACGGCCUUCGGGUUGUAAACCGCUUUCGCAUGUGACGAAGCGUGAGUGACGGUAAUGGGUAAAGAAGCACCGGCUAACUACGUG
rnacentral:rRNA from 1 species